rnacentral:rRNA from 1 species
AAACAUGUCUUUUUGAGUUAUUUUUAAAGUCUGACCUGCCCACUGAAAUUUUUAAAUGGCCGCAGUAUUUUAACUGUGCAAAGGUAGCAUAAUCAUUAGUUUUUUAAUUGAAGGCUGGAAUGAACGGUUGGACGAGGUAUAAACUGUUUCAAAUAAAUUUAUAUUAGAAUUUUAUAUUUUAGUGAAAAAGCUAAAAUUUAAUUAAAAGACGAGAAGACCCUAUAAAUCUUUAUAUUUUUAUACAAACAAAUUUUUUGGAUUAUUUAUAUUUUUUUGUAAAAAAUUAUUUUGUUGGGGUGAUGUUAAAAUUUAAUGAACUUUUAAUUGGAAUUUAUCAUUGAUUUAUGAUUAAUUGAUCCGUUUUUAGCGAUUAUAAGAUUAAGUUACUUUAGGGAUAACAGCGUAAUUUUUUUGGAGAGUUCUUAUCGAUAAAAAAGUUUGCGACCUCGAUGUUGGAUUAAGAGAUAUUUUUAGGUGUAGCCGCUUAAAUAUAAAGUCUGUUCGACUUUUAAAUUCUUACAUGAUC